CGCACGCUGUUCCGGCCCCUGUAAUCGUCAGCUAAUGCUGCUUUUGGUCCUAUUGCCAGCCUAGAAUCUAGGUCAAGGGUUUCCAAACUGUGUCCCCCGGAGCCCUCCUGUGGGAGCGGAAGGGGGCGGCCUCUGACCCUCCAGCUAGAAUAGCUAGACUUCGAUCUCUGAUAAAAUACUAGUAGCUCCUUCGUGAGUCUCGCUGGGUACCAGGCAUGCACAGGGACUCUGCCUCCACGAUUGCCUUUUGUCCUCAUGAAACCCCAAGAUGAUUGGAGGCUGAGGCUGAGCAGCGUGCCCCGGGUCUCAAAGCGUGCAGGAGCAGAGCCGAGACUCAGACCCAGUGUCCACUCUGAGCCACCAGGAAUACGGGUUCCAAAGCUAGAGAGAAAACAAGGACUUUGGACCCCAGGAUGCGGGUAGACGAGCAAACACAGGGAGGACAGAUGGCGAGGCAGGGGUGUGAGGUGCCUGCUCAUUUUAUAGAUGAAGAAACGAAGGCUCGGUCGUCCACCAGAGCCCGCAUCCUGUUAUAUCAUUACAAAGGGAGGUGUCUUGGUUUGUUUUGGGAAUCCACGAAACAGAUGUUUCACUCAAAACGUCUUGGCGGCUGGACCACGAGUGAGGAGCUGCACAGGCACCUUCCUCCAGCACAGAUGCUCCAGGACCCAGACACAGACCCCAGAAGAGUGCAGACUUGGCUGGGAGAGUCCAGACGAGAAAGUGGCCGAGAGUGUCAGCCCCAGGGGCCCCCCGUGCCGGAAAUCCCGACAGCUGCCUGGCUUACAGGUCCUGGGCACUGGGCCCUGACCCAGGGCAGGCGGCGGCCGUGUCAGGUGUCCAGAGGAGUUGGGGGAGGUGACGGCUGGAACCGGGGGCUGUCUGCCCAUGGUUAGCGAGGCUGUCAACACCUCCUGGCCUGCCAAGGCAGAGCAGGGCCAGGGGGCUGGGGCUAGGUCCUGCCUGGCCUGGAGGGUCUGAGGGGAGAGACAGGCCCUGUCCUGAGGGUCUGGGAAAGGAAGCACAGUCUUGUCCUAGGCUGAGAGACCUGCCCAAGAAACCCGAGGAGGGGGACAGACCCUUGGCCUUAGGGGUUGGUAAAGGGGGUAUAUUUCCUAAUGGCCGAUGGGGAAUGGGGUGUGGGGUGUUGUCCCAGCCUGUCAAGAGAGAAGGCUGCCCAAUAUCUUGGACUUGAGGGAGCUCUGGACCUGCCCCUCCCUCAUCACCACUCAGCCGAGAGGCAGUCAGGUCUGCAGGCGCAGGCAAGAGCCCUGUGGCCUCAGGCUGACACCACCAACAGUCCCAGGGCUUCACGUCCUCAUCCAGGAAAGGAGAUGGUUUAGCCCCGGCCAGAUUUUCCUCAGCCCUGGGGAGGAACUUUGCCUCUCCGCUGAUGAAGACAGGGGAGGAGGGGGCAGGCUAGCCUCAGAGACCCGGUUCUAGGGGAGCCUCUCUCCGGAUGGGCCCCACCUGCCCACUCGACCCAUGCACCCUAGCUCUCCUAAGGCCUACUUGCUCACCCACUCUGGGGACACCUCCCCAGGCAGUCUUCCUGGGUUGAUACAGAUGAGGAGGCACCAUGUUCCCACCUCCCACAGGAGGCCUGGAGUGCCCACGCUGCCCUAGCUCCUUGGAGGCCCUGCCAGCAGAGCCUGACUUUAUGAAGGCUUUGGGCCUCCAUCUCUCUUCUCCCACUUUCUUCUCCCGGCUCUCUCCUAGACCCCAGUCCUCUGGUUCUGGCUGAACCAGGCCCUCUGCCACACCAGGUCUGGGGGCUUCUCCCAUCUCAGCUGUCCCUGCUGCUCAGUCUGGGGCUUUGGCUGCCCCCUCUUUGCUCAGUCCCCUACCCUGUGUCUCUGCCACUUCUCCCUGGAUUUGUCUUUGUCCUUUUUUCUCUGACUCAGACCUGCUUCUCGGUUUUAGUCUCCAUCUCUGCCCCUCUCUACCUCUGUCUGGUCCAGCCUUAGGAACCUCAGCCUCUCGGGCCCUGUUGCUCUGGGACCCUGUCCUGGCAGUGUCUGCUCUCCCCACCAGGCCAGGAUGCCUGAUCGGACAUCUGCUCCAAUGUCCGCUUGCUGGGCCCCAUGAAGCACUCAGACAACACUUGUGGUCUCAGCUCUGGCCCAGUUCCAGGGGAACUGCUGUGAUUCCCAGAAGUCAAGAGAGGGCGGGUCAUGUGCUUGCCUGCCCCUUGGAAGGUCUAAUGGCCCUGGGCCCUCCCUUGGCUUAGGCCUCUGGCCAUGGUCCCUGCACCAGUUCCCAACCCCCAACAGCAUGGUCUUCAUGUUUCACCCCACCACGGAGGGCUGGUAGCUGCGUGACCCUGAGCUUCUGGCAAGUUCUGAACUUCAGUUUCCUCUUCUACAGAGUGGGGCCAAUAGGGACUGCUCUGGCAGAUGUCAGGAUGAAGUGUCCGUGCACUGGCUGGGCACUUGGCACUGUGCCUAGCACGUAGUGGCGCUCGACAGAGUCCCCGUUACUGUUACUGUGACUAUUAUUCCCCCGGGUCCCCAGAGCCUUGAUGGGUGGGGUGCAGGAUGGGCUGAGCCUCUGUUGCUUGAAGUGUCCCAUGUCCACCCUGCAUCCCAUACCCGUUCCUUCCUCUGUUGGACAAAAGAUCAUCCCCCUACACCUGGGACCUCCCUGUCCUCAGAGUCAGCCUGAACUGCACACUGUGGAGCUCACCAAAUUAAUUACUGCUGGCUUGGGGAUAUGCUUUUUAAGAAGACAUUUUUCCAGGGGGAAAAACACGCAGGAGCUAUAAUUAGUUGGAAGAGGAAAGAAUCACGGAGCGUGUGAAUCACCAGGCCCAGUGACAGACGGUUAGAGCCGAGCAGAAGUUUG